rnacentral:rRNA from 1 species
AGAGUUUGAUCCUGGCUCAGAACGAACGCUGGCGGCGCGUCUUAAGCAUGCAAGUCGAACGGCAAGAGAGGAGCUUGCUUCUCUCCUAGAGUGGCGGACUGGUGAGGAACACGUGGGUAAUCUACCCUUAAGAUGGGGAUAGCUGCUAGAAAUAGCAGGUAAUACCGAAUACACUCGGCAUAUCACAAGAGAUGUUGAGGAAAGGAAGCUACGGCUUCGCUUGAGGAUGAGCUUGCGUCCCAUUAGCUAGUUGGUGAGGUAAAGGCCCACCAAGGCGACGAUGGGUAUCCGGCCUGAGAGGGUGAACGGACACAUUGGGACUGAGAUACGGCCCAAACUCCUACGGGAGGCAGCAGCUAAGAAUAUUCCGCAAUGGACGGAAGUCUGACGGAGCGACGCCGCGUGGAUGAAGAAGGCUGAAAAGUUGUAAAAUCCUUUUGUUGAUGAAGAAUAAGGGUGAGAGGGAAUGCUCAUCUGAUGACGGUAAUCGACGAAUAAGCCCCGGCUAAUUACGUGCCAGCAGCCGCGGUAACACGUAAGGGGCGAGCGUUGUUCGGAAUUAUUGGGCGUAAAGGGCAUGUAGGCGGUUAUGUAAGCCUGAUGUGAAAUCCUGGGGCUUAACCCUAGAAUAGCAUUGGGUACUGUGUAACUUGAAUUACGGAAGGGAAACUGGAAUUCCAAGUGUAGGGGUGGAAUCUGUAGAUAUUUGGAAGAACACCGGUGGCGAAGGCGGGUUUCUGGCCGAUAAUUGACGCUGAGAUGCGAAAGUGUGGGGAUCGAACAGGAUUAGAUACCCUGGUAGUCCACACCGUAAACGAUGUACACUAGGUGUUGGGGCAAGAGCUUCAGUGCCAAAGCAAACGCGAUAAGUGUACCGCCUGGGGAGUAUGCCCGCAAGGGUGAAACUCAAAGGAAUUGACGGGGGCCCGCACAAGCGGUGGAGCAUGUGGUUUAAUUCGA